rfam:Triticum aestivum genome assembly, contig: Triticum_aestivum_CS42_TGACv1_scaffold_212490_3AS
CACCUACUCCCUCCGUGCAGAAAUACUUGUCGGUGAAAUGGAUAAAAAUGGAUGUAUCUAGACUAAAAUACGUCUAGAUACAUCAAUUCCGCCGACAAGUAGUUCUGGAUGGAGGGAGUAUUUG